UACGUAGGGUGCAAGCGUUGUCCGGAAUUAUUGGGCGUAAAGAGCUCGUAGGCGGUCUGUCGCGUCGGCUGUGAAAUCCCGGAGCUCAACUCCGGGCCUGCAGUGGGUACGGGCUGACUAGAGUGCGGUAGGGGAGACUGGAAUUCCUGGUGUAGCGGUGAAAUGCGUAGAGAUGUGGAGGAACACCAGUGGCGAAGGCGACUUUCUGGCUUAUAACUGACGCUGAGGCGCGAAAGCGUGGGGAGCAAACAGG
rnacentral:rRNA from 1 species